UACGUAGGGGGCAAGCGUUGUCCGGAAUCAUUGGGCGUAAAGAGCGUGUAGGCGGCCACAAAAGUCCGCUGUGAAAACUCGAGGCUCAACUUCGAGCUGUCGGUGGAAACUUUCUGGCUAGAGUCCGGAAGAGGAGAAUGGAAUUCCUGGUGUAGCGGUGAAAUGCGCAGAUAUCAGGAAGAACACCCGUGGCGAAGGCGGUUCUCUAGUACGGUACUGACGCUGAGACGCGAAAGCGUGGGGAGCGAACAGG
rnacentral:rRNA from 1 species